UACAGAGGGUGCGAGCGUUGUCCGGAAUCACUGGGCGUAAAGGGCGCGUAGGUGGCGGGACAAGCGUGCGGUGAAAGCCUGGGGCUCAACCCCGGGUCGGCCGUGCGAACUGUUUUGCUUGAGCACUGUAGAGGCAGGCGGAAUUCCGGGUGUAGCGGUGGAAUGCGUAGAGAUCCGGAAGAACACCGGUGGCGAAGGCGGCCUGCUGGGCAGUAGCUGACACUGAGGCGCGACAGCGUGGGGAGCAAACAGG
rnacentral:rRNA from 1 species